GGGAAAACCACUUAAAGCAUGACAGACACUUCUGGAAUGGAAAUUUCCUCCACUCCAUUCCAACACUGAUCCUCAACCGUGCCCCCAUGGCAAACCCGACAACCCAGUUCUGGCUGACUUUUCAGCUAAUAGGCUCUUUAGCAUCUCAUCAUCACUUCAACAUCACCGAGUUCUGUAAAAAGCUUAAGAGGAGGCAAUCUUGGCCACUCCAAAAUUUUGAAAGAGAAACCACCAAGAAAAACACCUGCAAGCACACAUCUCAGAACAGAUUGGUGUAUCAUGGACAAAAGGAUGGAAAAAAUAACCAGAAUGUGUAAAAAGAUCAUACAUAAGUCUCUGGUGAACAAACCCAUUAACUCAGCUCAACAGACAACAGAAGAAAAGAACAGAGACUGCAGGAAAAGAGCACUUUCCUGCUCCUUGCCUGUGUUGUCAUUGCAGAAGCCCAGCAAGUGGGUCAGAGAGCGCACGGAGAAUCCACUGGGCUGCUGACGGCGUGAGGCAAGUAAUCUGCUCACCAAGGGCAGAGCUGCUGGUGCAGGAGAUAAUUAAACACUGGCUAGUGCUUUUUUCUCAAUGCACUUGGGAAGGAGAUUUUAAAAAGGCUUGGAAUUAAAUCCUAGGCUGCA